CAAAAUGGAAGUCAAAUAAAAGUACAAAUAUGCUACCUUCACCAGCUGGAUCAAGGGAUUCCAGAAAUAUCCUCUUCAGACUUUUUGAGGUAACAUGAAUGAGAACUGUACUUUACCUGGGGUGAGAAGAGGAGGAUGGGAUGUGAACCAUGGGUCUGCUAUCAAGGAAGUAAAAAUGAAAUGCUGCAGUAAGCAGAGACGCCAAGUUCUGUCAGGCCAAUUCUGAGCUGAAUGGAGAUCCAUCUGAGAAACAUGGGCUGCUGCUGGUACACGGGCACUGGUCAUACUACCGCAUCUGCAUCCUUCUGCGCUACUUCCUCUACAAAACCACUGCUUUAUCUGG